GAAAGCCGUGUGCGGGAGAACCGCACGCACGGUGUGAAGCGGCGGGGGCUGGAAACGGAGCGGAAGCCACCGAGCCAGUCCUCGACCGUAC
rnacentral:misc_RNA from 1 species